rnacentral:rRNA from 1 species
GAUAAACGCUGGCGGCGCACAUAAGACAUGCAAGUCGAACGGAAGUCGUUAUAAAAAGGAUUGAAGAUUUAUCUAAUUGAGAUUUUAUAACAAUGGCUUUAGUGGCGGACUGGUGAGUAACGCGUGAGUAACCUGCCCAAGAGACUGGGAUAACACCUGGAAACAGAUGCUAAUACCGGAUAACAACACUAGACGCAUGUCUAGAGUUUGAAAGAUGGUUCUGCUAUCACUCUUGGAUGGACCUGCGGUGCAUUAGCUAGUUGGUAAGGUAACGGCUUACCAAGGCAAUGAUGCAUAGCCGAGUUGAGAGACUGAUCGGCCACAUUGGGACUGAGACACGGCCCAA